rnacentral:misc_RNA from 1 species
ACACCUCAACUCUUGUGGCUUUGCCAUGAUGAGCUUGGACGAUGGGGGUCUUGCUGGCCUGUGGUCAGCUCCUCUCAAAUAAAUCAGCUUGCCAGUGUUUGGUGGCGUCACAGGUGUGAUAACUAUCUACGCUUGUGGUUUUUCCACCAGGUAACCUUCAGCAGUGGAGGUUCACUGGAGCUCAUAGAUGUCUCUCCUCGGUGAGGACAGCCCUUUGAAU